AGGCUGUCUUGGCCCUGAUGCAGAGCCCGUCCCCACCAUCCACCCUUCCUGCGUCUCUAAAUUCACAGUGGUCACAGACGUAAAAGCAGCCCUACCAGAAAAUGAAAGAGAAGUAGCGCAGGAGAACCCGGUUUAAAUAAAAGCCAGACUCGGCAGGGCUUAGUGGGAAGCGGCAUUCCAGCUCACCAACGUGGAAUAGUCAGCAGGAAGAGGAAAUAUUUCUGUAAAACUGAGUUCACUGAAGUCAAAGUCCCUGGAUUGGAAGCAAAGGUGUUCAGGCUGUCGUCUCGGAGCCGGCCCGGCCUCCCUGUAUCAUACCGGCCACCAGAGUGGGCAGCCGGAAGAGGCUCUGGCUGGGCUGCUGCUUCUUCCACAGCAAGUGGCUUCCAGCCUGGGGCUGCAACAUUCCUACCUAGAAGCUUCUCUCAGCUUUUUAUUGCACCUCAAGACCUGCCUUCCUAAGUCAGUGUGGAAGAGGACCAAGAAGAGAGAAGAGCCCAGAUCCAAAUGGCCCAUAUUCCUCACUAAAGGUCCGCAAGCUCAGCCAUCCAACUCCCUCCCUCACCCCACCCCACCUCUGGCUACAGCCAAACUCGAAUGGGAAGUGAAGGGCAGGUGGGGGUGCAGGAACAGCCCAGGAGUCUUCACUCGCCCUGGGGAGCCUGCACUCUGCUUGCCCAGUGGGCCUCCCAUAAAUAUUUGCUGGAUAAAUAAUGAAUUUGAGAAUGCAGCACGCAGCCAGUCCAAACCAGCUCCUCCCAAAAGAACUCUGCAAGGAUGAAGAUGUGUUCCAUCUGCCUUGCUUGGCCUGGGAGACACGGGUGGCCAGGAAUCCAUCCUGAUGAGCAGGAUGGAUUUCCCAAGGCUUUCCAUUAUGUAAACUGAAAUUGUAUUAGUGAGCAUGGUACCACCUGCCUAGAAUCCCAGCACUCAGGAGGCUGAGGCAGGAGGAUCUUGGGUUUGAAGGCAGGCUGCACUACAUGGUAAGGUCCUGUCCCAAACAAACAAACAACAUUGUGAACAUUUGAAAAACGAAAGUCCCUGGGGGCUGGAGAGAUGGCUCAGUGGUUAAGAGCACUCGCUACCCUCGAGAGGACCCAGGGCUGCUUCCCAGCACCCACACUGUGGCUCACAACCAUCAAUUACUCCAGUUUCAACACUUCAUGCACAUGUGACAGACAUACAGCAAAGCUCAUACACAUAAAAUACAUGUUAAAACAGUCACAGGCUGGACUUUUAACUGCUCAGCAGUUAAAAGCAUGUACUGCUUGCCAGACACAGGGGUGCACACCUUUAAUCCCAGCACUUGGGAGGCAGAGGCAGGCGGAUCUCUGAGUUGAGGCCAGGCUACAAAGUGAGUUCCAGGACAGCCACACUGGUACACAAAGAAAUCCUGUCUCAAAAAAACAAAAAAAAAAAGUACACACUGCUGAUUUUAAUUGGGUCCUGGCACCCACCUCGGGUGGCCCACAAUCACCUGUAACUCCAGCUCAAGGGGAUCUGACGCCCUCUUCUGGCCUCCAUCGGCACCUUCCCUCCCACAUGCAUGCACAGAAUUAAACAUUUUUUGAAAGGGUCCUAAAUGCCUCGUGGGCUGCGGCUGCCCAAACCCUGUUUCCCCCCUGCUCC